CUCUGUCCACAACUGUUUCAAAAUAAAAGUCCUCACCACAAUAAUUCACUGUUAAACAAUUUAGGUUAGACAGGUAGGGUCUCGCGCCAAUUACUCAAGGCCAUGCGGGUGCGUUAGUUUUAGGCAACGUAACAGUCAAUCAAGGAAAAAACUCGCACACCAUUAUUUGCCGUUGAAAAAUAAAUAAACAAAGUGUUUAAUCCAUCAAACCAAGGUGCUACCAAGUGAGGUGAUCAGUUGAUUGACAGA